rnacentral:rRNA from 1 species
UACAUGGGGUGCAAACGUUGCUCGGAAUUAUUGGGCGUAAAGCGCGCGUAGGCGGUUAUUCAAGUCGGAUGUGAAAGCCCUCGGCUUAACUGAGGAAGUGCACCCGAAACUGAGUAGCUAGAGUACCAAAGAGGGUCGCGGAAUUCCCGGUGUAGAGGUGAAAUUCGUAGAUAUCGGGAGGAACACCGGUGGCGAAGGCGGCGACCUGGGUGGAUACUGACGCUGAGGUGCGAAAGCGUGGGGAGCAAACAGG